GAAUGAUGCAGAGAAGGUUAGCAUGGCCCCAGGGCAAGAAGACACACAAAGUUGUGCAGUGUUACAUGUUUUU
rnacentral:snRNA from 1 species